GAAUUUUCCACAAUGGGCGAAAGCCUGAUGGAGCAACGCCGCGUGCAGGAUUAAGGCCCUUGGGUUGUAAACUGCUUUUAUAAGUGACGAUUAUGACGGUACCUAACGAAUAAGCACCGGCUAACUCCGUGCCAGCAGCCGCGGUAAUACGGAGGGUGCAAGCGUUAUCCGGAUUUACUGGGUUUAAAGGGUGCGUAGGCGGCCUGAUAAGUCAGUGGUGAAAGCUCUCAGCUUAACUGGGAAACUGCCAUUGAAACUGUUAGGCUUGAGUACAAUUGAAGUGGGCGGAAUACAUCAUGUAGCGGUGAAAUGCUUAGAUAUGAUGUAGAACACCGAUUGCGAAGGCAGCUCACUAAAUUGCAACUGACGCUGAGGCACGAAAGCGUGGGUAGCGAA
rnacentral:rRNA from 1 species